UGAAACAUCUAAGUACCUGGAGGAAGAGAAAGAAAAAUCGAUUUCCUGAGUAGCGGCGAGCGAAACGGAAAGAGCCCAAACCAAGAAGCUUGCUUCUUGGGGUUGUAGGACACUCUAUACGGAGUUACAAAAGAAAGUUAUAAAUGAAGCGGUCUGGAAAGGCCCGCCAAAGACGGUAACAGCCCGGUAGUUGAAAUGGCUUUCCCUCCAGAGUGGAUCCUGAGUACGGCGGAACACGUGAAAUUCCGUCGGAAUCCGGGAGGACCAUCUCCCAAGGCUAAAUACUCCCUAGUGACCGAUAGUGAACCAGUACCGUGAGGGAAAGGUGAAAAGCACCCCGGAAGGGGAGUGAAACAGUUCCUGAAACCGUGUGCCUACAAGUAGUUAGAGCCCGUUAAUGGGUGAUAGCGUGCCUUUUGUAGAAUGAACCGGCGAGUUACG
rnacentral:rRNA from 1 species